rnacentral:ribozyme from 1 species
GAGCAAGAGGAUGUGGCUAACGUUGGUUCCUACAAUGGAGGUACCCCAGUAUAUGUGUCUGGUAUCCCUUUAGAGGUUGUAAUCAAGGCAU